CCUACGGGUGGCAGCAGUGGGGGAUAUUGCACAAUGGGGGGAACCCUGAUGCAGCGACGCCGCGUGGGUGAAGGAGUGCUUCGGCAUGUAAAGCCCUAUCGGCAGGGAAGAAGCAAGACGGUACCUGACUAAGAAGCCCCGGCUAACUACGUGCCAGCAGCCGCGGUAAUACGUAGGGGGCGAGCGUGAUCCGGAUUCACUGGGGGUAAAGGGAGCGUAGACGGCCAUGCAAGCCAGGGGUGAAAGCCCGGGGCCCAACCCCGGGACUGCCCUUGGAACUGUGCGGCUAGAGUGCGGGAGGGGCAGGCGGAAUUCCUGGUGUAGCGGUGAAAUGCGUAGAUAUCAGGAGGAACACUGGCGGCGAAGGCGGCCUGCUGGACCGCGACUGACGUUGAGGCUCGAAAGCGUGGGGAGCGAACAGGAUUAGAUACCCCUGUAGUC
rnacentral:rRNA from 1 species